rnacentral:misc_RNA from 1 species
AGUAAGUCAGUCACAUGUGUCAAUAUAUUCAUUAUAUGUAUUUUUAAUCUCUCUCUGGGACAUUUUUCCCUAUUUGUUUUGUCAAAUCUGGUGUUUAUACCCCAUUUAAUAUUCUAUAAAGAGUUAGUCUUAAUUUGUGGGUAGGUAAAUCAAACCUUAAGUUACUGAUAUGAAGCUUUGUAAAAUCAGUUUUUUAACAAUGCUAUUAGUUGCAUGUUUUUGGAAAUAAUUAGUAUAUUUGAGAAAACUCAAUGAAUAAAACAGAACUAGCAGAACUAUUGAUAUUUAUGUAAGAAUGUUAUUUGUCAUAGUUCUAAGAAUUGGUGCUUUUGGGUCAUUGGUUAGAAUUGGAAAAGAAAUACCUAAUAAGGUUUGUUCACUGGCUGCAUCACUUGAGUUUACUGGUUUGCUUCCUCAUAGAAUUUUUCGAACUUUCUAUAUUUAUGGUUUUUGUUUUUUCAAAUUAGGUAAGUCUUCUGCAAGUCUUGAAUGGCCCUCACACACAGAUACAUAUUUAUUUAUUUGUAGAUUAUUUUAUAUUGAGUCAAUUAGAGUCCUUAGUUUGGAACAAUUGCUAGGAUAUGUAUAGACAUAUCAAUAAACUUUCAUUUCUAGGUGUGAAUAUUUUUGGAAUAGAAAAUUAGAUAGAGCAUGUUGCUCUUCUUUCAGUGUGAUUAUGGCUUUCAAAUAUGCUCUCAUGGCAUGAUUUUAAAUUGUGAUUGAAGGAUUGCAAUGUUGGCAUGUUGUGUGUAAAGUGCAAUGUUCUUGAGUGGUUAUAUCAUGAAAUUCUUUAAAGGCUUAAUACAUAAAUUUUCUCUUGAACUAAUUGUGAAAAGUCUAUUGGACCUUCAACCUUGUAUUCCAACUUAUUGCAUCCAUAAAUUUUUUAUUUUUGACUUAUUGCAAUCUUAAACUUUUAACGUUUUAUAACCAUUACAUGAUAUGCUUAACUCAUCAAUGAAUAAUAAGAAUACAUUAUCAUAUAUUGUUUGAAGUAAAGAGAUAUAAAGUCAUGUAUUUAUCCAUUAUUUAUUGACAAGCAACUAAAAUCAUGCCUAUUGGUUGAUAAAAACUGUAAAGUGCAAUAGACCAGAAUAAAAAUAUAAGAGUGUGAUAGCUCGAAAUAGAAGGUCAGAGAUGCAAUAGAAUUUUCUUAACUAGUUCAAGGAAAAAUUUAUAUAUUUGGCCU